CUGCUCAGGACGAACGCUGGCGGCGUGCCUAAUACAUGCAAGUCGAGCGCGGGAAGCAGGCAGAUCCUCUUCGGAGGUGACGCCUGUGGAACGAGCGGCGGACGGGUGAGUAACACGUGGGCAACCUGCCUGUAAGAUUGGGAUAACCCCGGGAAACCGGGGCUAAUACCGGAUAAUACUUUUCGUUGCAUAACGAGAAGUUGAAAGGCGGCUUUUAGCUGUCACUUACAGAUGGGCCCGCGGCGCAUUAGCUAGUUGGUAAGGUAACGGCUUACCAAGGCGACGAUGCGUAGCCGACCUGAGAGGGUGAUCGGCCACACUGGGACUGAGACACGGCCCAGACUCCUACGGGAGGCAGCAGUAGGGAAUCUUCCGCAAUGG
rnacentral:rRNA from 1 species